UACAUGUGUAGGAUAGGUGGGAGGCUUUGAAGCGUUGUCGCCAGAUAGCGUGGAGCCAUCCUUGAAAUACCACCCUUGUAUGUUUGAUGUUCUAACACUGACCCGUUAUCCGGGUUGUGGACAGUGUCUGGUGGGUAGUUUGACUGGGGCGGUCUCCUCCCAAAUAGUAACGGAGGAGCACGAAGGUUAGCUAAUCACGGUCGGACAUCGUGAGGUUAGUGCAAUGGCAUAAGCUAGCUUAACUGCGAGACAGACACGUCGAGCAGAUACGAAAGUAGGUCAUAGUGAUCCGGUGGUUCUGAAUGGAAGGGCCAUCGCUCAACGGAUAAAAGGUACUCCGGGGAUAACAGGCUGAUACCGCCCAAGAGUUCAUAUCGACGGCGGUGUUUGGCACCUCGAUGUCGGCUCAUCACAUCCUGGGGCUGAAGUCGGUCCCAAGGGUAUGGCUGUUCGCCAUUUAAAGUGGUACGCGAGCUGGGUUUAGAACGUCGUGAGACAGUUCGGUCCCUAUCUGGUGUGGGCGUUGGAUGAUUGAUGGGAGCUGCUCCUAGUACGAGAGGACCGGAGUGGACGAACCGCUGGUGUUCGGGUUGUGAUGCCAAUCGCAUUGCCCGGUAGCUACGUUCGGAACGGAUAACCGCUGAAAGCAUCUAAGCGGGAAGCCGGCCCAGAGAUGAGUCAUCCCUGACAGUUUAACUGUCCUGAAGGGUUGUUUUAGACUAAGACGUUGAUAGGCAGGGUGUGGAAGCGUUGUAAGGCGUUAAGCUAACCUGUACUAAUUGCCCGCGAGGCUUAAU
rnacentral:rRNA from 14 species